rnacentral:rRNA from 1 species
AGUGAACGCUGGCGGCGUGCCUAAUACAUGCAAGUCGAACGGAGUGGCGCACGGGUGAGUAAUAUAUAGCUAAUCUGCCCCUUGCUGGAGGACAACAGUUAGAAAUGACUGCUAAUACUCCAUAGCAAGGGAUGAGACUAUAUCGUAUAAGCUAGUCGUUGGGGUAACGGCCUACCGAGGCGAUGACGCGUAACGGGUCAGGGAGGCUGAGCAGUGACCUUGGAACUGAGACACGGUACAAACUCCUACGGGAGGAAGCAGGAGGGAAUAUUGCGCAAUGGGGGAAACCCUGACGAAGCAUCGCCGCGUGGAGGAUGACACUUUUCGGAGCAUAAACUCCUUUUGUUAGGGAAGCGGUACCUAACGAAUAAGCACCGGCUAACUCCGUGCCAGCAGCCGCGGUAAUAC